GAUGAACGCUGGCGGCGUGCCUAAUACAUGCAAGUCGAGCGAACAGACGAGGAGCUUGCUCCUCUGACGUUGGCGGCGGACGGGUGAGUAACACGUGGAUAACCUACCUAUAAGACUGGGAUAACUUCGGGAAACCGGAGCUAAUACCGGAUAACAUGUUGAACCGCAUGGUUCAACAGUGAAAGACGGUCUUGCUGUCACUUGUAGAUGGAUCCGCGCCGCAUUAGCUAGUUGGUAAGGUAACGGCUUACCAAGGCAACGAUGCGUAGCCGACCUGAGAGGGUGAUCGGCCACACUGGAACUGAGACACGGUCCAGACUCCUACGGGAGGCAGCAGUAGGGAAUCUUCCGCAAUGGGCGAAAGCCUGACGGAGCAACGCCGCGUGAGUGAAGAAGGUCUUCGGAUCGUAAAACUCUGUUAUUAGGGAAGAACAAAUGUGUAAGUAACUAUGCACGUCUUGACGGUACCUAAUCAGAAAGCCACGGCUAACUACGUG
rnacentral:rRNA from 1 species